rnacentral:rRNA from 1 species
CCCGCUACAGAAACUCAAAUGAAUUGACGGGGCCGCACAAGCGGAGGAGCAUGUGGUUUAAUUCGAUGAUACGCGAGGAACCUACCUGGGCUCGAACGUAAGAUGACUGUAGGUGAAAGCUUACAUCUCUUCGGAGCAUUUUACGAGGUGCUGCAUGGUUGUCGUCAGCUCGUGCCGUGAGGUGUCGGGUUAAGUCCCAUAACGAGCGCAACCCCUACCUUUAGUUGCCAUCAGGUUAAGCUGGGGACUCUAAAGGAACUGCCUACGCAAGUAGUGAGGAAGGCGGGGAUGACGUCAAAUCAGCACGGCCCUUACGUCCAGGGCUACACACGUGCUACAAUGGCCGAUACAGAGGGCAGCUACCUGGUGACAGGAUGCAAAUCUCCAAAGUCGGUCUCAGUUCGGAUCGGAGUCUGCAACCCGACUCCGUGAAGUUGGAUUCGCUAGUAAUCGCGCAUCAGCCAUGGCGCGGUGAAUACGUUCCCGGGCCUU